UCUACGGGGUGCAGCAGUCGCGAAAAUUUGCAAUACACGAAAGUGUGACAGGGUCAUCCCGAGUGCCAUCCGCUGAGGAUGGCUUUUACUCAGUCUAGAAAGCUGGGGGAAUAAGGAGAGGGCAAGUCUGGUGUCAGCCGCCGCGGUAAUACCAGCUCUCCGAGUGGUGUGGAUGAUUAUUGGGCCUAAAGCAUCCGUAGCUGGCUGGGCAAGUCCCCUGUUAAAUCCACCGAUUCAAUCGUUGGUGUGCGGGGGAUACUGUUCGGCUAGGGGACGAGAGAGGCCGACGGUAUUUUCGGGGUAGGGGUGAAAUCCUAUAAUCCCGGGAAGACCACCAGUGGCGAAGGCUGUCGGCUAGAACGCGCCCGACGUGAGGAUAAACGCAACCGGAGCGAACCGGAUUAGAUACCCGCGUAGUCCUGAAC
rnacentral:rRNA from 1 species